rnacentral:rRNA from 1 species
GAUGAACGCUAGCUACAGGCUUAACACAUGCAAGUCGAGGGGCAGCAUGAUCGAAGCUUGCUUUGAUUGAUGGCGACCGGCGCACGGGUGAGUAACGCGUAUCCAACCUUCCCUAUAGUAGAGAAUAGCCCGGCGAAAGUCGGAUUAAUGCUCUAUGUUGUAUUUAGAAGACAUCUGAAGAAUACCAAAGGUUUACCGCUAUAGGAUGGGGAUGCGUCUGAUUAGGUAGUAGGCGGGGUAACGGCCCACCUAGCCGACGAUCAGUAGGGGUUCUGAGAGGAAGGUCCCCCACAUUGGAACUGAGACACGGUCCAAACUCCUACGGGAGGCAGCAGUGAGGAAUAUUGGUCAAUGGACGGAAGUCUGAACCAGCCAAGUAGCGUGCAGGAUGACGGCCCUAUGGGUUGUAAACUGCUUUUAUAUAGGGAUAAAGUCGGGGACGUGUCCCCGUUUGUAGGUACUAUAUGAAUAAGGACCGGCUAAUUCCGUGCCAGCCGCCGCCGUAAAAC